GACCUGAGAGGGUGAUCGGCCACACUGGAACUGAGACACGGUCCAGACUCCUACGGGAGGCAGCAGUAGGGAAUCUUCCGCAAUGGGCGAAAGCCUGACGGAGCAACGCCGCGUGAGUGAUGAAGGUCUUCGGAUCGUAAAACUCUGUUAUUAGGGAAGAACAAAUGUGUAAGUAACUGUGCACGUCUUGACGGUACCUAAUCAGAAAGCCACGGCUAAACUACGUGCCAGCAGCCGCGGUAAUACGUAGGUGGCAAGCGUUAUCCGGAAUUAUUGGGCGUAAAGCGCGCGUAGGCGGUUUCUUAAGUCUGAUGUGAAAGCCCACGGCUCAACCGUGGAGGGUCAUUGGAAACU
rnacentral:rRNA from 1 species